rnacentral:rRNA from 1 species
UACGUAGGCAGCGAGCGUUGUUCGGAAUUACUGGGCGUAAAGAGUGUGUAGGCGGUGCUCCCAGUCUGUUGUGAAAUCUCCCGGCUUAACUGGGAGGGUGCAGCGGAAACUAGAGUGCUAGAGGGUGGGAGAGGUAAGCGGAAUUCCUGGUGUAGCGGUGAAAUGCUUAGAUAUGACAUAGAACACCAAUUGCGAAGGCAGCUUACUACACAACGAUUGACGCUGAGGCACGAAAGCGUGGGGAUCAAACAGG